rnacentral:misc_RNA from 1 species
GAUGAAGAACGUAGCGAAAUGCGAUACGUAAUGUGAAUUGCAGAAUUCAGUGAAUCAUCGAGUCUUUGAACGCACAUUGCGCCCCUUGGUAUUCCGGGGGGCAUGCCUGUUCGAGCGUCAUUACAACCCUCAAGCUCUGCUUGGUCUUGGGCGUCACCGGUCCCCGGUGUGCCUUAAAAUCAGUGGCGGCGCCAUCUGGCUCUAAGCGUAGUACAUACUCUCGCUACAGACGUCCGGUGGAUGCUGGCCAGCAACCCCCAAUUUAUCAAGGUUGGCCUCGGAUCAGGUAGGGAUACCCGCUGAACUUAAGCAUAUCAAUAAGCGGAGGA